GGGGAUGCCAAGGUCUCGACAUGAGCACGAUUCUUUCAAAUGCAGUGGGGUUUGCCCCUUACAGCUAGAGGUUUACUUAAAUGCAAACUCAAAAAACGACAAUGUUGAAUUAGACGAAGCAUUCUUAAUCAACAAACUGUCAGCACAAUCUCAACUUAACUACAACUUUGUAGCCUAAGCCUUUGUGCUUUAAGGUAUUAACGUUUUCUUCAUUUACGUUAAUACAUUAGAAUAAAUGAAUAUGUUGUAUCGAUGCUAAUAAAUACGAUGAAUUCAAUCUUAGCUUAGUUAGACAAAGGGUGUCUUAAUUCCUAAUAUUGUCUGAUGAAACGCUUAAAUUAGGACUAAACUGUAGACUUUGUUAGAUGACUAUUUGUGGAAAUGGGUUCGAUUCCCAUCAUCUCCACCA
rnacentral:tmRNA from 1 species